rnacentral:tRNA from 1 species
CGGAGUUUAGCUCAGUUUGGCAGAGCACCUGGUUUGGGACCAGGGGGUCGUAGGUUCAAGUCCUACAAUUCCGACCA